UUAAGGGAGAGACUUCUCCUUAGCCUGCGUACCCGAGACUUCUAAUUUCGAAUAAAUAUGUAUUUCAUAUCCCUUA
rnacentral:tRNA from 5 species